UCUGGGAGUUCAAGUCCAAACAUCUUCAAGCUGUCCUAGUUUGGAAGCACUGAUCCAAAUAGGGGGGUGGGGAAAGAGAACAACACAACCACAACCUUGUCUCGACAGUCACAAUUCAAGGAAGCCCCCCCGUAUAUUGUAUAAAUACUAUAUUUAUUAAAUAUCUUUACAGUUCAUUUAAAUGUAUUUACAGAUAACUAUUCUCGCACAAAUUAUACUCCAGACAUUCAAUUCACAUAAUUAAAAUUUCCUUUUUUUUUUUAAAUUAAAAAAAAGGUAAGUUACAGGUCACGAUAGUCUCAUUUAACAAGAAAAAAUGGCAUCCUCAUUAGAUCAGCUAUCCUCGUCGGGAGAAGGAAAUUAAUAAUUAAAAAAAUUAAAAAUGCAAAAACCCAGGGGGGGGGUCUGGAUCGCGUCUGUUUUCCCUGGGGGGGGGAAAAAGCCUGUUCCCACGAUUUCUGAUCUCCGCUUCCUCGUGGACGUCCCAGAUUCCAAGUUGCUUUCUCUCUUUUUUUCCUACUUGAUCUUUGCAACAGAGAUCGGGUGGGGAACCCAGCUCUGGAUCCCACUGCUGCCACCAAAGAAAACGGAGCCCAAGAUGCAAGCGCCCCCCCCCAUUAAGAGCACGAGAGCCCCCUCCCUACCUCGUUGCACCUGACACCGCAAUGGCAGGCACUUUCAGAAGGCCGACCCCUGCUCCCACGAACCAGAGGGGUCUCUCUCACACAUGCCCCCCCCCAAAGAAGGUUGGGGUCCAUCUCUCCUCCAUCCAGGUAUCCCCAAUUUUAAGAAAGGAAAAUGGAAUGUGCCAAUUCCUAACCCCAGUUGGCCUCCCCAAGUAAGAAGCAGCCCGGCUUGGAGGGUCAGGCGUGAAGAUCACUCGCUUUUUCCUUUCCUUUGUGGGUGUUGUUUCUUCUUCUUUCCUUUUUUGUAAAAAAAUAAAAACUCUUGUGCGCAGACAGCUUUUAAGUUCCUAAAGAAGAAACCAAGGUAUAUUGGGGUGGAAGGCUCAUCUUAAAAGGGGGGGGGGGGAGGGGGGGGGGGGCGGGAGAUCUCAAGCAUGCAAUAGAACUUUAUAGUACAGUAUUGCUUUUAAAAAACAGAUGGCCGGAAAGCUUAUAAACUCCACGGGGGUCUUUGGUGUCCCAAAGGGGAGAAAGGAUGUGGGGGGGGGGGAUGCAAGUUUUAAAUAUUCAAUUUGACCAUGGCU